rnacentral:rRNA from 1 species
UCAAGCGAAUAAGCGCACACGGUGGAUGCCUUGGCGGUCAGAGGCGAUGAAGGACGUGGCAGCCUGCGAAAAGUAUCGGGGAGCUGGCAACAAGCUUUGAUCCGGUAAUGUCCGAAUGGGGAAACCCACCCGCUUGCGGGUAUCCUGCAGUGAAUACAUAGCUGCUGGAAGCGAACCUGGUGAACUGAAAUAUCUAAGUAACCAGAGGAAAAGAAAUCAACCGAGAUUCCGUAAGUAGCGACGAGCGAACGCGGACUAGCCCUUAAGCUGGAUUGGUUCUAGGAAAACGCUCUGGAAAGAGCGGCCAUAGAAGGUGAUAGCCCUGUAUCUGAAAGGGCCAUUCCAGUGAAGACGAGUAGGGCGGGGCACGUGAAACCCUGUCUGAACAUGGGGGGACCAUCCUCCAAGGCUAAAUACUACUGACCGACCGAUAGUGAACCAGUACCGUGAGGGAAAGGCGAAAAGAACCCCGGAGAGGGGAGUGAAAUAGAACCUGAAACCGUGUGCGUACAAGCAGUAGGAGCUCCGCAAGGAGUGACUGCGUACCUUUUGUAUAAUGGGUCAGCGACUUACUGUUCGUGGCAAGCUUAACCGUAUAGGGGAGGCGAAGGGAAACCGAGUCUGAUAAGGGCGCAUAGUCGCGGGCAGUAGACCCGAAACCGGGUGAUCUAGUCAUGCCCAGGGUGAAGGUGCGGUAACACGCACUGGAGGCCCGAACCCACUCCCGUUGCAAAGGUAGGGGAUGAGGUGUGAUUAGGAGUGAAAAGCUAAUCGAACCCGGAGAUAGCUGGUUCUCCUCGAAAGCUAUUUAGGUAGCGCCUCAUAUGUAUCCUCUCGGGGGUAGAGCACUGUUAUGGCUAGGGGGUCAUCGCGACUUACCAAACCAUUGCAAACUCCGAAUACCGAGACGGACUGUAUGGGAGACACACGGCGGGUGCUAACGUCCGUCGUGAAAAGGGAAACAACCCAGACCCACAGCUAAGGUCCCAAAUUCACUGCUAAGUGGAAAACCAUGUGGAAAGGCACAGACAGCCAGGAGGUUGGCUUAGAAGCAGCCACCCUUUAAAGAAAGCGUAAUAGCUCACUGGUCGAGUCGGUCUGCGGGGAAGAUUUAACGGGGCUAAGCAGUGAACCGAAGCUUGGGGUGCAUAACUUUGUUAUGCGCGGUAGAGGAGCGUUCCGUAAGCCGUUGAAGGUGGAUUGAGAAGUCUGCUGGAGGUAUCGGAAGUGCGAAUGCUGACAUGAGUAACGAUAAUGCGGGUGAAAAACCCGCACGCCGAAAGCCCAAGGUUUCCUUGCGCAACGUUAAUCGGCGCAGGGUGAGUCGGCCCCUAAGGCGAGGACGAAAGUCGUAGUCGAUGGGAAGCAGGUUAAUAUUCCUGCACCUCGCGUAAGUGCGAUGGAGGGACGGAGAAGGUUAGGUGUACCAGGCGUUGGUUGUCCUGGGGAAAGGCGGUAGGUUUGGAUCUUUGGCAAAUCCGGGAUCCUUUAAGACCGAGCACCGAGACGAGCCUUUAAGGCGAAGUCACUGAUACCACGCUUCCAGGAAAAGCUCCUAAGCUUCAGCUUACGCAGACCGUACCGUAAACCGACACAGGUGGGUAGGAUGAGAAUUCUCAGGCGCUUGAGAGAACUCGGGUGAAGGAACUAGGCAACAUGGCACCGUAACUUCGGGAGAAGGUGCACCCUUUUUGGUGGCUCGUGCGAGCUAUAGCUGAAGAGGGUCGCAGUAACCAGGCCGCUGCGACUGUUUAUCAAAAACACAGCACUCUGCAAACACGAAAGUGGACGUAUAGGGUGUGACGCCUGCCCGGUGCUGGAAGGUUAAUUGAUGGGGUCAGCCGCAAGGCGAAGCUCUUGAUCGAAGCCCCAGUAAACGGCGGCCGUAACUAUAACGGUCCUAAGGUAGCGAAAUUCCUUGUCGGGUAAGUUCCGACCUGCACGAAUGGCGUAACGACAGCGGCGCUGUCUCCACCCGAGACUCAGUGAAAUUGAAAUCGCUGUGAAGAUGCAGCGUUCCCGUGGCAAGACGGAAAGACCCCGUGAACCUUUACUAUAGCUUUACACUGAACGUUGAGUUCGUCUGUGUAGGAUAGGUGGGAGGCUAUGAAACUGUGGCGCUAGCUGCAGUGGAGCCAUCCUUGAAAUACCACCCUGUCGUGCUUGACGUUCUAACCUGGGCCCAUUAUCUGGGUCGGGGACCGUGUAUGGUGGGUAGUUUGACUGGGGCGGUCUCCUCCUAAAGAGUAACGGAGGAGCUCGAAGGUACGCUCAGCGCGGUCGGACAUCGCGCACUGUGUGCAAAGGCAUAAGCGUGCUUGACUGCAAGAUCGACGGAUCAAGCAGGUAGGAAACUAGGACUUAGUGAUCCGGUGGUUCUGUAUGGAAGGGCCAUCGCUCAACGGAUAAAAGGUACUCCGGGGAUAACAGGCUGAUACCGCCCAAGAGUUCAUAUCGACGGCGGUGUUUGGCACCUCGAUGUCGGCUCAUCACAUCCUGGGGCUGUAGUCGGUCCCAAGGGUAUGGCUGUUCGCCAUUUAAAGUGGUACGCGAGCUGGGUUCAGAACGUCGUGAGACAGUUCGGUCCCUAUCUGCCAUGGGCGUUGGAGAUUUGAGAGGGGCUGCUCCUAGUACGAGAGGACCGGAGUGGACGAACCUCUGGUGUUCCGGUUGUCACGCCAGUGGCAUUGCCGGGUAGCUAUGUUCGGAAGCGAUAACCGCUGAAAGCAUCUAAGCGGGAAGCGCGCCUCAAGAUGAGAUCUCCCGGGGCACAAGCCCCCUGAAGGAACCAUGUAGACUACGUGGUUGAUAGGUCAGGUGUGUAAGUACAGCAAUGUAUUGAGCUAACUGAUACUAAUGAUCCGUGCGGCUUGACCA